rnacentral:SRP_RNA from 1 species
GCUGGGCGUGGUGGCACGUGCCUGUAGUCCUAGCUACUUGGGAGGCUGAGGCUGGAGGAUCACUUGAGUCCAGGAGUUCUGGGCUAUAGUGCGCUAUGCCGAUCAGGUGUCUGCACUAAGUUCGGCAUCAAUAUGGUGACCUCCCGGGAGUAGGGGACUACCAGGUUGCCUAAGGAUGGGUGAACCGGCCCAAGUCAGAAAUGGAGCAGGUCAAAACUCCCGUGCUGAUCAGUAGUGGGAUCACGCCUGUGAAUAGCCACUGCACUCCAGCCAGGACAACAUAGCGAGACCCUGUCUCU